CAUCCCGGCUUACCAACCCGAUGCAAACUGCGAAUACCGGAGAAUGUUAUCACGGGAGACACACGGCGGGUGCUAACGUCCGUCGUGAAGAGGGAAACAACCCAGACCGCCAGCUAAGGUCCCAAAGUCAUGGUUAAGUGGGAAACGAUGUGGGAAGGCCCAGACAGCCAGGAUGUUGGCUUAGAAGCAGCCAUCAUUUAAAGAAAGCGUAAUAGCUCACUGGUCGAGUCGGCCUGCGCGGAAGAUGUAACGGGGCUAAACCAUGCACCGAAGCUGCGGCAGCGACGCUGAUGCGUUGUUGGGUAGGGGAGCGUUCUGUAAGCCUGUGAAGGUGGCCUGUGAGGGUUGCUGGAGGUAUCAGAAGUGCGAAUGCUGACAUAAGUAACGAUAAAGCGGGUGAAAAGCCCGCUCGCCGGAAGACCAAGGGUUCCUGUCCAACGUUAAUCGGGGCAGGGUGAGUCGACCCCUAAGGCGAGGCCGAAAGGCGUAGUCGAUGGGAAACGGGUUAAUAUUCCCGUACUUGGUGUUACUGCGAAGGGG
rnacentral:rRNA from 1 species